CAAAGUGUAGCUUAUACAAAGCACCUGGCCUACACCCAGAAGAUUCCAUAUCAACAGUGGCCACUUUGA
rnacentral:tRNA from 1 species